rnacentral:rRNA from 1 species
UACGGAGGGGGCUAGCGUUGUUCGGAAUUACUGGGCGUAAAGCGCACGUAGGCGGCUUUGUAAGUUAGAGGUGAAAGCCCAGGGCUUAACCCUGGAAUUGCCUUUAAGACUGCAUCGCUAGAAUUGUGGAGAGGUGAGUGGAAUUCCGAGUGUAGAGGUGAAAUUCGUAGAUAUUCGGAGGAACACCAGUGGCGAAGGCGGCUCACUGGUCCAUUACUGACGCUGAGGUGCGAAAGCGUGGGGAGCAAACAGG